rnacentral:tRNA from 1 species
AGUAGGAUAAGCUAAAUUUAAGCUAGUGGGUUCAUGCCCCAAAAAUGAUAUAUUCUCCUAUUA